rnacentral:rRNA from 1 species
UGCUGSGUGAGAAGACGCUUGGUAAGCACUGCCCGGUGCCGGCAGCGGUAAACGGUGGUCCCUAGGAUUUUAAUGUAGCGUAGUACCUUGCCCUUUAAUUGUGGGCUUGCAUGAAGUGUCCACGAGGGAGUUACUGUCUCUGCUUAAUUUACGAUAAACCGGAUUCUAGGUGCAAUUGCCUAGGAGAGGGUAAAAGACGAUAAGACCCCGUGCAGCUUUAUACUAUUGGUUAAAGAUGAGUGAAAUGUUAUUUGGUUGGGGCAACGGGGGAAUAGACAAAACUUCCUUGGGAUCAAGGUGAGGGUACUAAACUGGAGGUACUAUACGAACUGUCAGGUUACGAUCUGAUUUGAUAGAUGAGCGGAAGAGUUACGCCGGGGAUAACAGCGCUAUCUUCGAUUGGAGUGCUUAUCUGAUUGAGGGAUUGCGACCUCGAUGUUGAAUCAGCGGAAAUCUAUAGGUGCAGCAGCUUAUAGGUGGGACUGUUCGUCCUUUAGAGCGCU